CAAUCUCUUUCAGCAUUUGCUCUUGCAAGAAUUAAUUGAAAUUCAUUGUCUGCUUACUUCUCGUAAUGUUGGUAUUAGAAGAAUACAGAUCAAAUUGCUUUUUGAAUGAACACAAGGAAAACCUGCUGUUGCAGUGAUAGAUAAUGGAAGAGGAAUGACCUCUAAACAGCUUAACAACUGGGCCGUGUAUAGGUUGUCAAAAUUUACAAGGCAAGGUGACUUUGAAAGUGAUCAUUCGGGAUAUGUUCGGCCAGUACCAGUACCACGCAGUUUAAAUAGUGAUAUUUCCUAUUUUGGUGUUGGGGGCAAACAGGCUGUUUUCUUUGUUGGACAAUCAGCCAGAAUGAUAAGCAAACCUGCAGAUUCUCAAGAUGUUCAUGAGCUUGUGCUUUCUAAAGAAGAUUUUGAGAAGAAGGAAAAAAAUAAAGAGGCAAUAUAUAGUGGAUAUAUUAGAAACAGAAAGCCAUCUGAUUCUGUCACAUUACAAAUGAUGAUGAAAGAUUUCUACAUAAUCUUAUCAUAGAAGAAAAGGAAAAAGAUAGCUUUACUGCUGUGGUUAUCACAGGGGUACAAGCAGAACACAUACAGUACUUGAAAAAUUACUUCCAUCUUUGGACACGGCAGUUAGCGCAUAUUUAUCAUUACUAUAUUCAUGGCCCAAAAGGAAAUGAAAUACGUACAUCGAAAGAAGUUGAACCUUUCAACAAUAUAGAUAUUGAAAUUUCUAUGUUUGAAAAAGGGAAGGCACCUAAGAUUGUCAACCUGAGGGAAAUACAAGAUGACAUGCAGACGUUGUAUAUAAACACAGCAUCUGAUAGUUUUGAGUUCAAGGCUCAUGUUGAAGGAGACGGUGUAGUGGAAGGGAUUAUCCGCUAUCAUCCUUUCUUAUAUGAUAGAGAAACCUAUCCUGAUGAUCCAUGCUUUCCGUCAAGUAUGUUAACCUCAUCUCUUAGCUCAAAUGUGCUGUGACUUAGGAUAGUGAUUUACUUAAAUAAUUACUAGUUGAGGUAUUAAGAUUAGAUAAAUAAAUAUGAAACGUUUUUUCCUUAUUCAAGCCUUAAGUUAUUAGAUAUUUGUGAUUUUUAACCCUUGAUUUUGUGUAUAUUCAGUUCCAGAUGGAAAAAGCACUGGCCAUAAGAAGCUGUUCUUUUAAACCUCUUACUGAAGUAAAUUUUUGGAUAUGUAUUCAUGCUAAUCAUUUAUAUAUUCCUGAGAUUAUCUUCUCUGUACAUUUAUUUGUAAGGAAGUUUUACACUUUAUGUAGUCACAUCUGUUCAGUUUUUUCUUUAUACUUUGAUUUUGU